GCAAAGUCGAACGAGAAGCUGACUUCGGUCAGUGGAAAGUGGCGGACGGGUGAGUAAUAUGUAGAGAAUCUGCCCUUGAGUGGGGGACAACAGAGGGAAACUUCUGCUAAUACCCCAUAUGAGCUAACUUGAAAUAGUUAUCUUGAAAACUCCGGUGCUCAAGGAUGAGUCUGCAUCUGAUUAGCUAGUUGGCGGUGUAAUGGACCACCAAGGCGACGAUCAGUAGCUGGUUUGAGAGGAUGAUCAGCCACAAUGGGACUGAGACACGGCCCAUACUCCUACGGGAGGCAGCAGUAGGGAAUUUUUGCGCAAUGGGCGAAAGCCUUGACGCAGCAACGCCGCGUGAACGAUUAAGCCCUUCGGGGUGUAAAGUUCUGUCAGUAGGGACGAAUUUUGACGGUACCUACAGAGGAAGCACCGGCUAACUCCGUGCCAGCAGCUGC
rnacentral:rRNA from 1 species